rnacentral:lncRNA from 1 species
CAAAGGAUAGUAGUAAAAUAGAGAGAUUUGAGGGAUGGUGGUUGCAUCUUCUUUACUUUGGUAGUAUAAUAAUAAAAUGAAAAAGGGUCCGGCCAAAAGCAAUGCAGGUGGGUUCCAUCAGAGGCGUGUCCGUCCAAAAGUCUCACUCUCACGAGAUAAGUGACGCAUUGAUGAAGCUCAGCCCUAACUUCCCAAUAUUCUUGUAUAUUUUUUACUAAUUAUUAUCCCAUUUUUAAUAAACUGUUAGAUGAUAAAUUACACCAAGUACAUAUCAUCUCUAUCGAACUCAGCUUUUAAAAAGUUGCAUUU